rnacentral:rRNA from 1 species
CGGUUGAUCCUGCCGGAGGCGACCGCUUUGGGAGUUCGAUUAAGCCAUGCGAGUCGUGAGUCUUAGGGACUCGGCAUACUGCUCAGUAACACGUGAAUAACCUGCCCUAUCGUCUGGAAUAACCUCGGGAAACUGAGAAUAAGGCCGGAUAGUUCACAAUGCCUGGAACGGUUUGUGAACCAAGGUAGGAUGGGUCUGCGGCGUAUCAGGUUGUAGGGGGUGUAAAGGACCCCCUAGCCUUCGACGCGUACGGGUGUUGGGAGACAUAGCCCGGAGAUGGAUUCUGAGACACGAAUCCAGACCCUACGGGGUGCAGCAGGCGCGAAAACUUCACACUGCAGGAAACUGUGAUGAGGGAACUCCUAGUGCAUGCACUAUGUGUAUGUAGAUCCUACUCUUAACAAGUAGAGGGAAAGGGCUGGGAAAGACCGGUGCCAGCCGCCGCGGUGAUACCGGCAGCUCAAGUGGUCGUCGCUUUUAUUGGGCCUAAAACGUCCGUAGCCUGUUUGGUAAAUCUGUGGGUAAAUCAAUCCGCUCAACGGAUUGAAUUCUGCAGAGACUGCCAGACUAGGGACCGGGAGAGGUGUGGGGUACUCGAGGGGUAGGGGUAAAAUCCUGUCAUCCUUCGAGGACCACCAGUUGCGAAGGCGCCACACUGGAACGGAUCCGACGGUCAGGGACGAAGCCUAGGGGCACGAACCGGAUUAGAUACCCGGGUAGUCCUAGGUGUAAACGCCGUGAACUUGGUGUCGGGGGUCCGCAAGGGGUCCCCGGUGCCGGAGUGAAGAUGUUAAGUUCACUGCCUGGGGAGUACGGUCGCAAGGCUGAAACUUAAAGGAAUUGGCGGGGCAGCAC